AUUGAACGCUGGCGGCAGGCCUAACACAUGCAAGUCGGACGGUAGCACAGAGGAGCUUGCUCCUCGGGUGACGAGUGGCGGACGGGUGAGUAAUGUCUGGGGAUCUGCCCGAUAGAGGGGGAUAACCACUGGAAACGGUGGCUAAUACCGCAUAACGUUGCAAGACCAAAGAGGGGGACCUUCGGGCCUCUCACUAUCGGAUGAACCCAGAUGGGAUUAGCUAGUAGGCGGGGUAAUGGCCCACCUAGGCGACGAUCCCUAGCUGGUCUGAGAGGAUGACCAGCCACACUGGAACUGAGACACGGUCCAGACUCCUACGGGAGGCAGCAGUGGGGAAUAUUGCACAAUGGGCGCAAGCCUGAUGCAGCCAUGCCGCGUGUAUGAAGAAGGCCUUCGGGUUGUAAAGUGCUUUCAGCGGGGAGGAAGGCGAUGUGGUUAAUAACCUUGUCGAUUGACGUUACCCGCAGAAGAAGCACCGGCUAACUCCGUGCCAGCCGCCGCCGUAA
rnacentral:rRNA from 1 species